ACCAUCACCGGCAUCGUCUCCCUUUCAAUCAAAGACAAUCAAUAGGAGGAGAUCAAAGAAACUACUUAAAUCCAUUUUAUUCAAUCUUGCACUUGAGGAUAAAUUAAAAUCAUGGAGUC